ensembl:snRNA U4 U4 spliceosomal RNA
AGCUUUACUCAGUGGCAAUAUCGUAGCCAAUGAGGUUUAUCUGAGGCACGAUUACUGCUAAUUGAAAACUUUUCCCAAUAUACUGAAUAAUACUCUAAUAUAGGUCCUCUGGGCAAAGUUAUGCUUUUCCCUCUCCAGA